GACAGAGGGUGCAAACGUUGUUCGGAAUUACUGGGCGUAAAGUGAGUGUAGGCGGUCUGCUAAGUCGGGUGUGAAAGCCCCGGGCUCAACCCGGGAAGUGCACUCGAAACUGGCAGGCUAGAGUACUGGAGAGGUUGGUGGAAUUCUCGGUGUAGAGGUGAAAUUCGUAGAUAUCGAGAGGAACACCGGUGGCGAAGGCGGCCAACUGGACAGAUACUGACGCUGAGACUCGAAAGCGUGGGGAGCAAACAGG
rnacentral:rRNA from 1 species